rnacentral:rRNA from 1 species
CACGUAGGGGGCAAGCGUUUGUCCGGAUUUAUUGGGCGUAAAGAGCUCGUAGGCGGCUCAGUAAGUCGGGUGUGAAACCUCCAGGCUCAACCUGGAGACGCCACCCGAUACUGCUGUGGCUUGAGUCCGGUAGGGGAGCGUGGAAUUCCUGGUGUAGCGGUGAAAUGCGCAGAUAUCAGGAAGAACACCCAGUGGCGAAGGC